rnacentral:rRNA from 1 species
GACAGAGGUCCCGAGCGUUAGGCGGAAUUACUGGGCUUAAAGCGUGUGUAGGCGGAUCGUUAAGUGCCUUGUGAAAUCCCACGGCUUAACCGUGGAACUGCUUGGCAUACUGGCGGUCUUGAGCCACCUAGGGGCAACCGGAACAAAUGGUGGAGCGGUGAAAUGCGUAGAUAUCAUUUGGAACGCCAAUGGUGAAAACAGGUUGCUGGGGGUGUGCUGACGCUGAGACACGAAAGCCAGGGGAGCGAACGGG